GCCUGGGUAGCUUAGUCAGUUAAGCAUCUGACUUCAGAUCACGAUCUCACGGUUUGUGGGUUCAGGCCCCACAUGGGGCU
rnacentral:tRNA from 1 species